rnacentral:rRNA from 1 species
UACGUAGGGUGCUAGCGUUGUUCGGAAUUACUGGGCGUAAAGCGCACGUAGGCGGCUUUGUAAGUUAGAGGUGAAAGCCCGGGGCUCAACUCCGGAACUGCCUUUAAGACUGCAUCGCUUGAAUCCAGGAGAGGUGAGUGGAAUUCCGAGUGUAGAGGUGAAAUUCGUAGAUAUUCGGAAGAACACCAGUGGCGAAGGCGGCUCACUGGACUGGUAUUGACGCUGAGGUGCGAAAGCGUGGGGAGCAAACAGG